rnacentral:rRNA from 1 species
ACGAGGCGAACCGGGGGAACUGAAACAUCUAAGUACCCCGAGGAAAAGAAAUCAACCGAGAUUCCCCCAGUAGCGGCGAGCGAACGGGGAGCAGCCCGGAGUCUGAAUCAGCUUGUGUGUUAGUGGAAGCGUCUGGAAAGUCGCAGGGUACAGGGUGAUACUCCCGUACACUAAAACACACAGGUUGUGAACUCGAAGAGUAGGGCGGGACACGUGGUAUCCUGUCUGAAUAUGGGGGGACCAUCCUCCAAGGCUAAAUACUCCUGACUGACCGAUAGUGAACCAGUACCGUGAGGGAAAGGCGAAAAGAACCCCGGCGAGGGGAGUGAAAAAGAACCUGAAACCGUGUACGUACAAGCAGUAGGAGCCCACUAGUUGGGUGACUGCGUACCUUUUGUAUAAUGGGUCAGCGACUUAUAUUCUGUAGCAAGGUUAACCGAAUAGGGGAGCCGCAGGGAAACCGAGUCUUAACUGGGCGUUAAGUUGCAGGGUAUAGACCCGAAACCCGGUGAUCUAGCCAUGGGCAGGUUGAAGGUUGGGUAACACUAACUGGAGGACCGAACCGACUAAUGUUGAAAAAUUAGCGGAUGACUUGUGGCUGGGGGUGAAAGGCCAAUCAAACCGGGAGAUAGCUGGUUCUCCCCGAAAGCUAUUUAGGUAGCGCCUCGUGAAUUCAUCUUCGGGGGUAGAGCACUGUUUCGGCUAGGGGGUCAUCCCGACUUACCAACCCGAUGCAAACUACGAAUACCGAAGAAUGUUAUCACGGGAGACACACGGCGGGUGCUAACGUCCGUCGUGAAGAGGGAAACAACCCAGACCGCCAGCUAAGGUCCCAAAGUCAUGGUUAAGUGGGAAACGAUGUGGGAAGGCCCAGACAGCCAGGAUGUUGGCUUAGAAGCAGCCAUCAUUUAAAGAAAGCGUAAUAGCUCACUGGUCGAGUCGGCCUGCGCGGAAGAUGUAACGGGGCUAAACCAUGCACCGAAGCUGCGGCAGCGACACUAUGUGUUGUUGGGUAGGGGAGCGUUCUGUAAGCCGUUGAAGGUGGCCUGUGAGGGUUGCUGGAGGUAUCAGAAGUGCGAAUGCUGACAUAAGUAACGAUAAUGCGGGUGAAAAACCCGCACGCCGGAAGACCAAGGGUUCCUGUCCAACGUUAAUCGGGGCAGGGUGAGUCGACCCCUAAGGCGAGGCCGAAAGGCGUAGUCGAUGGGAAACAGGUUAAUAUUCCUGUACUUGGUGUUACUGCGAAGGGGGGACGGAGAAGGCUAUGUUGGCCGGGCGACGGUUGUCCCGGUUUAAGCAUGUAGGCGGAUGUUCCAGGUAAAUCCGGAACGUCACUAACGCUGAGGUGUGAUGACGAGGCACUACGGUGCUGAAGUGACAAAUGCCCUGCUUCCAGGAAAAGCCUCUAAGCAUCAGGUAACAUCAAAUCGUACCCCAAACCGACACAGGUGGUCAGGUAGAGAAUACCAAGGCGCUUGAGAGAACUCGGGUGAAGGAACUAGGCAAAAUGGUGCCGUAACUUCGGGAGAAGGCACGCUGAUGGUAAGUGAAGCGACUUGCUCGUGGAGCUGAAAUCAGUCGAAGAUACCAGCUGGCUGCAACUGUUUAUUAAAAACACAGCACUGUGCAAACACGAAAGUGGACGUAUACGGUGUGACGCCUGCCCGGUGCCGGAAGGUUAAUUGAUGGGGUUAUCCUCGCGGAGAAGCUCUUGAUCGAAGCCCCGGUAAACGGCGGCCGUAACUAUAACGGUCCUAAGGUAGCGAAAUUCCUUGUCGGGUAAGUUCCGACCUGCACGAAUGGCGUAAUGAUGGCCAGGCUGUCUCCACCCGAGACUCAGUGAAAUUGAACUCGCUGUGAAGAUGCAGUGUACCCGCGGCAAGACGGAAAGACCCCGUGAACCUUUACUAUAGCUUGACACUGAACACUGGUCCUUGAUGUGUAGGAUAGGUGGGAGGCUUUGAAGUGUGGACGCCAGUCUGCAUGGAGCCAUCCUUGAAAUACCACCCUUUAAUGGCUGGUGUUCUAACGUGGGCCCGUGAUCCGGGUUGCGGACAGUGUCUGGUGGGUAGUUUGACUGGGGCGGUCUCCUCCUAAAGAGUAACGGAGGAGCACGAAGGUCAGCUAAUCCUGGUCGGACAUCAGGAGGUUAGUGCAAUGGCAUAAGCUGGCUUGACUGCGAGCGUGACGGCGCGAGCAGGUGCGAAAGCAGGUCAUAGUGAUCCGGUGGUUCUGAAUGGAAGGGCCAUCGCUCAACGGAUAAAAGGUACUCCGGGGAUAACAGGCUGAUACCGCCCAAGAGUUCAUAUCGACGGCGGUGUUUGGCACCUCGAUGUCGGCUCAUCACAUCCUGGGGCUGAAGUAGGUCCCAAGGGUAUGGCUGUUCGCCAUUUAAAGUGGUACGCGAGCUGGGUUUAGAACGUCGUGAGACAGUUCGGUCCCUAUCUGCCGUGGGCGCUGGAGAAUUGAGGGGG